rnacentral:rRNA from 1 species
UGUACCCCCCAUUGUAACACGUGUGUAGCCCCGGACGUAAGGGCCGUGCUGAUUUGACGUCAUCCCCACCUUCCUCACAUCUUACGACGGCAGUCUCUCUAGAGUCCUCAGCAUGACCUGUUAGUAACUAAAGAUAAGGGUUGCGCUCGUUAUGGCACUUAAGCCGACACCUCACGGCACGAGCUGACGACAACCAUGCAGCACCUUCACAUUUGCCUUACGGCUAUACUGUUUCCAAUAUAUUCAAAUGCAAUUUAAGCCCGGGUAAGGUUCCUCGCGUAUCAUCGAAUUAAACCACAUGUUCCUCCGCUUGUGCGGGCCCCCGUCAAUUCCUUUGAGUUUCACCGUUGCCGGCGUACUCCCCAGGUGGAAUACUUAAUGCUUUCGCUUGGCCGCUUACUGUAUAUCGCAAACAGCGAGUAUUCAUCGUUUACUGUGUGGACUACCAGGGUAUCUAAUCCUGUUUGAUACCCACACUUUCGAGCAUCAGUGUCAGUUGCAGUCCAGUGAGCUGCCUUCGCAAUCGGAGUUCUUCGUGAUAUCUAAGCAUUUCACCGCUACACCACGAAUUCCGCCCACCUCUACUGUACUCAAGACAGCCAGUAUCAACUGCAAUUUUACGGUUGAGCCGCAAACUUUCACAACUGACUUAACUGUCCACCUACGCUCCCUUUAAACCCAAUAAAUCCGGAUAACGCUCGGAUCCUCCGUAUUACCGCGGCUGCUGGCACGGAGUUAGCCGAUCCUUAUUCAUAUGGUACAUACAAAAUUCCACACGUGGAAAACUUUAUUCCCAUAUAAAAGAAGUUUACAACCCAUAGGGCAGUCAUCCUUCACGCUACUUGGCUGGUUCAGGCCUGCGCCCAUUGACCAAUAUUCCUCACUGCUGCCUCCCGUAGGAGUUUGGACCGUGUCUCAGUUCCAAUGUGGGGGACCUUCCUCUCAGAACCCCUAUCCAUCGAAGGUUUGGUGAGCCGUUACCUCACCAACUGCCUAAUGGAACGCAUCCCCAUCGAUAACCGAAAUUCUUUAAUAACAAGACCAUGCGGUCUGAUUAUACCAUCGGGUAUUAAUCUUUCUUUCGAAAGGCUAUCCCCGAGUUAUCGGCAGGUUGGAUACGUGUUA